rnacentral:tRNA from 1 species
CAUUAGAUGGCUGAAAGCAAGCACUGGUCUCUUAAACCAUUUUAUAGUAAGUAGCAUUUACUUCUAAUG